rnacentral:misc_RNA from 1 species
AGUUCUCAACCACAUCCAUCUUGUAUGUGACUGUGGCUUGGAUGUGGGGGAUAUUGUUUGCAGGCUUCAGAAGUGAGGUUGGCUCCCCGGAAAUGCAUGAGCAGUUUCUGAGCAGAACUACUGUAGGUGUGAUAAUUAUCUAUGCCUUUGGAGAGUAGAACUGCAUGACUGCUUCUAAUAAAGUGGUACACAUUUGAUAC